UACGUAGGGAGCAAGCGUUGUCCGGAAUCAUUGGGCGUAAAGCGCGCGUAGGCGGCCUCAUAAGUCCGUUGUGAAAGUCAAAGGCUCAACCUUUGAAAGCCGAUGGAUACUGUGAGGCUAGAGUCCGGAAGAGGCGAGUGGAAUUCCUGGUGUAGCGGUGGAAUGCGCAGAUAUCGGGAGGAACACCAAUGGCGAAGGCAGCUUGCUGGGACGGUACUGACGCUGAGGCGCGAAAGCGUGGGAGCAAACAGG
rnacentral:rRNA from 1 species